AGAAAGGGUGGCAAUACCUCUU
rnacentral:miRNA from 1 species